GGUUAAGUGACUAAGCGUACACGGUGGAUGCCUUGGCAGUCAGAGGCGAUGAAAGACGUAGUAACUUGCGAUAAGCCCAGAUUAGGUAGUAACAACCAUUUGAGUCUGGGAUUUCUGAAUGGGGAAACCCACUUACAUAAGUAAGUAUCAUUAACUGAAUACAUAGGUUAAUGAGGCGAACCGGGGGAACUGAAACAUCUAAGUACCCCGAGGAAAAGAAAUCAACCGAGAUUCCGAAAGUAGCGGCGAGCGAAAUUGGACUAGCCCUUAAGCUUUACACGCGUUAGACGAACGGUCUGGAAAGUCCGACGAUACAGGGUGAUAGUCCCGUAGUUGACGACGUGUGUUCAGUGAAAUCGAGUAGGGCGGGACACGUGAUAUCCUGUCUGAAUAUGGGGGGACCAUCCUCCAAGGCUAAAUACUACUGACUGACCGAUAGUGAACCAGUACCGUGAGGGAAAGGCGAAAAGAACCCCUGUGAGGGGAGUGAAAUAGAACCUGAAACCGUGUACGUACAAGCAGUAGGAGCAGGCUUUGUCCUGUGACUGCGUACCUUUUGUAUAAUGGGUCAGCGACUUAUAUUCAGUGGCAAGGUUAACCAUCUAGGGGAGCCGUAGGGAAACCGAGUCUUAACUGGGCGUUCAGUCUCUGGAUAUAGACCCGAAACCAGGUGAUCUAGCCAUGGGCAGGUUGAAGGUUGAGUAACAUCAACUGGAGGACCGAACCGACUAAUGUUGAAAAAUUAGCGGAUGACUUGUGGCUAGGGGUGAAAGGCCAAUCAAACCUGGAGAUAGCUGGUUCUCCCCGAAAGCUAUUUAGGUAGCGCCUCGGACGAAUACUACUGGGGGUAGAGCACUGUUAAGGCUAGGGGGUCAUCCCGACUUACCAACCCUUUGCAAACUCCGAAUACCAGUAAGUACUAUCCGGGAGACACACGGCGGGUGCUAACGUCCGUCGUGGAGAGGGAAACAACCCAGACCGCCAGCUAAGGUCCCAAAUUACUACUAAGUGGGAAACGAUGUGGGAAGGCUCAGACAGCCAGGAUGUUGGCUUAGAAGCAGCCAUCAUUUAAAGAAAGCGUAAUAGCUCACUGGUCGAGUCGGCCUGCGCGGAAGAUGUAACGGGGCUAAGUAGUAAACCGAAGCUGCGGCAAUAUACUUUUGUAUAUUGGGUAGGGGAGCGUUCUGUAAGCGGUUGAAGGUGUGUGGUAACGCAUGCUGGACGUAUCAGAAGUGCGAAUGCUGACAUGAGUAACGAUAAAGGGGGUGAAAAACCUCCUCGCCGGAAGACCAAGGGUUCCUGUCCAACGUUAAUCGGGGCAGGGUAAGUCGACCCCUAAGGCGAGGCCGAAAGGCGUAGUCGAUGGGAAACGGGUUAAUAUUCCCGUACUUCUUACAAUUGCGAUGGGGGGACGGAGAAGGCUAGGUGGGCCUGGCGACGGUUGUCCAGGUUCAAGUGCGUAGGCUUAAGAGUUAGGUAAAUCCGGCUCUUUUUAAGGCUGAGACACGACGUCGAGCACCUACGGGUGUGAAGUCAUUGAUGCCAUGCUUCCAGGAAAAGCCUCUAAGCUUCAGAUUGUAAGGAAUCGUACCCCAAACCGACACAGGUGGUCGGGUAGAGAAUACCAAGGCGCUUGAGAGAACUCGGGUGAAGGAACUAGGCAAAAUGGUACCGUAACUUCGGGAGAAGGUACGCUCUUGAUGGUGAAGUCCCUCGCGGAUGGAGCUGACGAGAGUCGCAGAUACCAGGUGGCUGCAACUGUUUAUUAAAAACACAGCACUGUGCAAAAUCGUAAGAUGACGUAUACGGUGUGACGCCUGCCCGGUGCCGGAAGGUUAAUUGAUGGGGUUAGACUUCGGUCGAAGCUCUUGAUCGAAGCCCCGGUAAACGGCGGCCGUAACUAUAACGGUCCUAAGGUAGCGAAAUUCCUUGUCGGGUAAGUUCCGACCUGCACGAAUGGCGUAAUGAUGGCCACGCUGUCUCCACCCGAGACUCAGUGAAAUUGAAAUCGCUGUGAAGAUGCAGUGUACCCGCGGCUAGACGGAAAGACCCCGUGAACCUUUACUACAGCUUGGCACUGAACAUUGACCCUACAUGUGUAGGAUAGGUGGGAGGCUUUGAAGCACGUACGCCAGUAUGUGUGGAGCCGUCCUUGAAAUACCACCCUUGUAGUGUUGAUGUUCUAACGUCGACCCCUUAUCGGGGUUGCGGACAGUGCCUGGUGGGUAGUUUGACUGGGGCGGUCUCCUCCCAAAGAGUAACGGAGGAGCACGAAGGUGGGCUAAUCACGGUUGGACAUCGUGAGGUUAGUGCAAUGGCAUAAGCCCGCUUGACUGCGAGAAUGACAAUUCGAGCAGGUGCGAAAGCAGGUCAUAGUGAUCCGGUGGUUCUGAAUGGAAGGGCCAUCGCUCAACGGAUAAAAGGUACUCCGGGGAUAACAGGCUGAUACCGCCCAAGAGUUCAUAUCGACGGCGGUGUUUGGCACCUCGAUGUCGGCUCAUCACAUCCUGGGGCUGAAGUCGGUCCCAAGGGUAUGGCUGUUCGCCAUUUAAAGUGGUACGCGAGCUGGGUUUAGAACGUCGUGAGACAGUUCGGUCCCUAUCUGCCGUGGGCGUUGGAAGAUUGAAGGGGGCUGCUCCUAGUACGAGAGGACCGGAGUGGACGAACCUCUGGUGUUCGGGUUGUGUCGCCAGACGCAUUGCCCGGUAGCUAAGUUCGGAAUCGAUAACCGCUGAAAGCAUCUAAGCGGGAAGCGAGCCCUGAGAUGAGUCUUCCCUGAUACUUUAAGUAUCCUAAAGGGUUGUCGGAGACUACGACGUUGAUAGGUCAGGUGUGUAAGUGCUGUGAGGCAUUGAGCUAACUGAUACUAAUUGCCCGUGAGGCUUAACCAU
rnacentral:rRNA from 1 species